GCGAACUCUAUGCCCAACCUGGAGUUCAACUCAUGACCCCAGGAUGAACAGCUGCAUAUUGUAUUGACUGAGCCAGGUCAACACUAAGAGGUAUUGCCUGAAGCCCCCGCCGAUACACCUAAGAAGAAAACAACAAACUGUACUUCAAAUAUUUAAUUAUUUCUUAACAGAGAGGCAACACUGUGUUAUCCGGUGAACCUUAGAAAUACUAAUUACUGGAAUUUUGUUUAAAUAAUCUACCAUUACCAUUUGGGUGGAGGUUGGAUAGAACAUGGCAAUGUUCUGAUCCCCACGUGCAGAGUCUUGAUCUUCAAAGCGCAGCAGUCCCUGCAUUCUGACCGGGUUGUGUGGGCAGGCUUUGGGUUACAGACCAUAGGGCACAGACCCAUUAGAGCAUCAAUGACAGCGUCUGACCAAAAAUGCAAUAAGACGUAGCAAAUGUGACUAGCAAACCAACUAUAUUGUUUGGAAAAUGAGAAAUAAAUGUAAGUGAGAGAAAAGCCCUGCCCUACUUGUUAAGCUGCAGUGUAAUACAGAGGCUUGCACUGCAAAGCUUGACAAACUGUAGAGGUUUAACGCACCUGCCAACAAAGAGAGAAAAUAUUAGCUACAAAUGCCACAAGAGUGACAAAUGCAAAUAAAAUACCCUAUAAAAUUGUUUGACCAUAAAUCGUAGGUACUGCCAGCCAAAAAAAAAAAAAAAAAAAAAUUUUGUUUCGUUAUUAUUUGGCUUACAGUACCUAAUGGAGAUAAUUUUAUUCAGUAAUGUACGCACCUCAUCUGAUUGUUUAAUGUUGUCAUGCCGCUUUUCAAGGUCUGCAUACUUUUUCCAGUAACCAUAGCAAUACGGAUAGUGUAUGAAAAAUUUGUCAAACGCUUUCCUGGCAGCCAUCAAGUGAUUCUGACGAAAAUAAAACAAGGUGUUUAAAAAUC